rnacentral:lncRNA from 1 species
UAGUUGCUAGAAAAUUAAAAUUAAAUUAGUUGAUAAAAACAUGAUAAUUAGAUAUUGUUUGGUGCAUAACUGGUUACCAGAAAGCAAUUGUAAUGUUAAAGAAAGAAGCAGCUGUGAUUAUUUUCCAUUUAGCUGAGGUGUGUUUGGCCAAUGACAUGAGAAGAAGAUGAUCUUUAUCUUAUCUACGUCUUUUAUGAAUAUAUUGUUAGGGUGAAUUUUCGUUUUUAGGAGCGCUUGUGAUACACAUUUACGCCAAUGUGUGAUCCAGAAUUUGUUUCCUCGUUUCAUUUUCUCGUACAAAUUCCCCCUUAUUUAUAUUCAGUAAAAAUAUAUUAAGAAAAAAUCAGUGAAAAUGAUAAAGGUAGCUAUGAUGUUGAUGAGAAGAUAGAUACUGGUUGCUUCCACUUGAUAUUGUGGAGGUAAUUAUGGGGUCAAGUGAUCAUUUUGGUAGAACUUUUGGGCCUUUUAAUUGAUUAUGAUUAUGACAAUCUAUCUAAA